GUUUUAGAGUUGCUUUUGAACCUUAAUAAGUGGAACAUUGACCAACAUAUUUGAUGUAUAUUGAUGAUUUUAAUGAUAUUGCUUUUUCACAAUUGUUGACUAUAUGAUGUUUAUGGGGUUUUUUUAUGUUUUCAUGAUGUAAAGCGGUUUGACUGCCUUGUUUCUGAAAUAUGUUAUAGAAAUAAACUUGGUAUGGGCUUGUGAUUUGGAUAAUAGCCGCUUUUAGUGGCAGCUGUUGUAGCCAAUCAGAAGCAAGUGUCGCUAAGUUUGGUUGAGAGCGCAUCGUUUUGCUAAACUUCAUAGCGUUAGAGGUUCGAUUCGGUUCUGUCUUCGUCAAUAUGCGUCAUAAAACGCCGCUGUGCGUCUCUUCCCGGCCUGACGGAUGGAGCUCCUCGUUGAUGAACCGGUCAGCAGCCACACAGACUUUCCUUCCAUUGUCUGCAUGCCAAGCCGAUGUUAUUCUACCCAUCUCCUUCUCCAGGGUCAUGGAUGCACUUCCCCCAGCCUCUCCACCUUCAUCCACACACACACACACACACACUCCGCUCUCAUCCCGCAGCCAAUAAGGGCCUGAUGAUCUCAAGUAUCACUAUAGCAGCAGGACUUAUUCUCUGAGCGGAGCCUGCGGAUACUUACAGACCUUCAUCUUCAUCGCCGAGGGAGCUGAUCUUCCUCUUUUGGGUA